UUUAAAUCUGGUAACCUUUAUAUUUUUGAAAGUUUUUGGCAAAAUUUUAACUCCGGAAUGGAGUAGAUAUGUUAUUUACGACAGACACUAGUCUCUGAAAAACGUACGAAAUUUCGAUUAUCAUACGAUUGGUUUUCCCGGCCUAUAUUUAUAUCUGACACAAUGUGACCAAGCAGCGAUAUUUUCAAAAUAUACAAAGACAGGGGCGUAUCCAGAACCUCGUUUUCUUGGGGGGGGGGGGAGAGCACCCAAACAUCGAUAUCUGUAUAGAGAUACCGAUAUAUGUGACUUUUUGUGGUAAUGGUUGUGGUAUGUGUGGUGGUGGUGGUUAAAAAGGGGGGUCAGAUAAUUUGCCACUGGACAUUAGACAGCAAAAAUCAAUCAUCGCAAUAUACUUUCAAUAAUAUCAUCUUUUAUUCUGUUAUCUUCAGUUUUGGUCCUGCUAUUUUUCGCUCUAUCCUAUAUUCUUUUAUCUCUUAGAUUUUUCCUAAACAUGCCUAUAUUUGCCGCUGGACACUGAUGAUUAGGCAACCAAAAUCAAUUAUUAUAUUCUUCACAUUUUAAUUUCAUCAUUUCUUUAUUUUCUUAUCUUAAGUUUUGGUCCGGCAUCUAAUGUUGUUUUUUUUUGCCCUGUAAAAACCAUUCAUAUCCUCAUAAAUGGUGACACGUACAUCCAUGGCCUCAUACAUGGAACAAGAAAAAUAGACAUACGAUAAUUGAUUCAUAAUUUACUUACUGUAUGCUUGGACUGAUACAUGUAGAUAAAUGUAUUAGUCCCAGAUUAUGUUACAAAGUAGGUCUUAUAACAAUACAAUAGCAUUUUAUUGAUGAUUAUAUAUAGUAAACAAUGCCAAUAUUUUGGAAAAAGGGUGGGGACAAGGCGUUUUUAAAAUAAUUUUUUUUUAAUAAUAAUCAUCAUAAUUAAAAGGCAUGUUAUACUAAAUGUUGAGUGUAGUGUUACAAAGUAUUGAACGGAACGGAUAUGUGAUCUCUGCUUCGGUGAUAUAUUUCCGAAAUCGACAUUUUCGAGAACUUUUUUUAUUCAAUAUUAAUCUGUAAUAUUAAUUGUAUUAAAAACAAUUUAAAAAAUCGUACUAUCCCAAUCAACAUAUACAUGUAGUUAACAUAUAAAGAGCAGAGAGACAUUACACACAGGUGUCAAUAUUUACAUAUAACCACCAAUCACAGUUGUCAAAAAUCAAGUAUGUUGGAGAGGGCGCACUACGUUUGCGCGCAUUUGGGGAUUAAAAUGUUUUACGUUUGCGCGCAGCUUUUGAUUACGUUUGCGCGCAUUCAUUUUACAGGUAAAAUAUAAAUAAAAAUUAAAUUUAAUUAUUAUUGACUAUAUAUUUUUUUAUUUUCAUAAUAAAUAUGACUAUCAAUUAUUAAUUUUGAAAAUAUUUCUUAAUUCAACUAUAGAUGGGAUUAACGGCCAGUUUUACAAAUCAAACUGUAAUUAAUUCUAAAUAAAAAGAUUCAGUAUUAAUAAAAUUAUGUUAAAACUUUUGUUGGUAACCUGAACUGGGGAGGGGGACAUGCCCUUAGGCCGCUUAGUGCCCCCUUUAAAAAGUUCUGGGUCCACCACUGCACUGUUUUGUUAUUUUAAAUUGUAAAAGUUUUCUGCUAUAAUAACAU
rnacentral:lncRNA from 1 species